AAAACCUUGUUCCAUCAUCUCAAUUCUAAAAUACAUAUAAAGGCAGGCAUACAAAUCAUAUGGGACCUUGAUCACACACUACAUCUCAUCUAGUGCAUGAAGAGAUGGAGAAAAUAAACUUAAGAAAGGUCAACCAGACAAUUAUCAACCCUGCCCAAAGCAUGAAAUAUGGAAAAGAUGAAACCCAACAAUAAUUCUCCUAACUCUUUAUUGAUAAAAUACAAAUGACAUUUUAUAUUAACUCCAUCUCCUUUUGUGUGUGUAUGUGGGUGAAUCAAUAGUUCCUAAAGUAUUUUCAUUAUUUAAGCAUGUGCAAACAAAAAUUCCAGCUAUUUUUGCCUAAUUAAACUUGCAGCACUUUCCUAAAACAAAAAUAUUUUUUCAUUAUUACUAAUGUUCUCUAAAUAGAAAGAAAAACAACAAAAUACAACUAAAAUUCUCAUUCCUCUUCUUUUUCAAAUCAUGCAGAGACCAAAGCAAACCCAAAAGCCACUGAAACUGAUACACGAGACAGAGUAACGCAUGAAAGCAACAAAUAAAGCCUUCAGACAGGUAGCAAGAGAAAACAUGUAAAAACAAAAGCCUUCCUCAAAACAAAAGAGAAGAAGAGAGCGAGUUACUUCGAAGCAGGAGCAACUCCAUGGCCAUUAACUGCAGGAACUUGAUUCUUCUUCUCCUGCGCGACCGGUUUCGGUGACUGGGGCAACCCGUCUAUGUUAACCGUAACCGAAUCCGACCCAGUAAUCACUUUGCCAGCAUUAGCAGCUAUGGGAGAAAAAUCAGGCUCAGAUCCAGCACUGCCUGAGAAAACCCAGUUGACAGAGCCACCGUGAAUGGCAACAGAAAAGCCCCUUUUGGCACCUGACACGAAGCUCUUAUUAUUAUUGUUGCAGCUGUUGCUGUUGUUGCUGUUGUUAGGUGCACCAAUACUAAGUUGCGAGUUCCCAUUCCCUCUGUCCGGUGACUCAGACCCAGGUAACCCAAGUCUCAACUCGGUGGCUUUUAAGUUGAGACCAACACUAGUAAACUUGUUAUCAGAGUUUUCCAUUGGAGGAACCUCUGAUGAUAAGCCUAUGUAGUCAUGCUCUAAGGGCAUAGACAUGAAAAAUAAAAAACCAUGAAAGUAUUAUCAAGAACCAAUUAGAAGUAGAGUAACAAGAAGAGAACAGAGAAGAAAAAGCUCUUCCUUUUCCUUAUGAAUUGAUGAAACAAGAGAUAUACAGAGUAAACUGAGAAAUGGGGUUUGGUUAAAUUACGAAACAAAGAAGCUUGUUUGAGUUUUUCUUUUUCCUUACUCUGUUUUCGCUCUAUAUAAUCCUCAACACCGUAGAAGAGCAAAUUAAAAGAAAUAUAUAUGUGGGAAAAUUAAAUUAAUUCGAGGAGUUUUCGUAAUUGUAAUAUUUUGUAAAAUAGAAUUAUUAUAUUAUCAUUUUCUUGUGGGCGACCACCCCGACAGGUCGCAGAAAGUCUCCCGGCGAUUUUUCCGAUACUGUACUUUUUGAAAUCUAUACAAAUUUAUUGUUGCUUUUAACAGCUAAAAGUGCGCCGAGACUGCUAACGUUGGCUGGCGGAAGGUGACGCUGUGUGCUCUAAUG
rnacentral:misc_RNA from 1 species